rnacentral:rRNA from 1 species
GACGAACGCUGGCGGCGCGCUUAACACAUGCAAGUCGAGCGAUGAAACUUUAACAGAACCCUUCGGGGCGGAGAUAAGGUGGAUUAGCGGCGGACGGGUUAGUAACACGUGAGUAACAUGCCUUAGACAUUGGGAUAGCUUCGGCAAACCGGGAUUAAGACCAAAUAAAAUCAUAAUGACACAUGUCAUAACGGUCAAAACUCCGGUGGUCUAAGAUGGACUUGCGUCCCAUUAGCUAGUUGGUAGAGUAAAAGCCUACCAAGGCGAGGAUGGGUAGCCGGGAUGAGAGACAGGACCGACACACUGGAACUGAGCAGCAGUCCAAAAUAUUACGCGAGGCAGGAGAGGGGGAUACUGCCCAAUCGCGGGAGCUAUGAUGCAGUGCGGCCGGGUGAACGAAGAAGGCUGGGGAGAAGUACAGUUCUUUUAUAUCGGAAUAUAAUGACGGUACCAAAAGAAAAAGCACCGGCUAACUACGUG